AACGUAGGAGACAAACGUUAUCCGGAGUUACUGGGCGUAAAGGGCGUGUAGGUGGUUACGUAAGUCUGGCGUGAAAUUUCUCGGCUUAACCGAGGCAGGUCGUCGGAUACUGCGAGACUAGAGGACGGUAGAGGCGUGUGGAAUUCCGGGUGUAGUGGUGAAAUGCGUAGAGAUCCGGAGGAACACCAGUGGCGAAGGCGACACGCUGGGCCGUACCUGACGCUAAAGCGCGACAGCAUGGGGAGCAAACGGGG
rnacentral:rRNA from 1 species